CCUGUGUGUGUGGAUGGCCGCCUGCCUCUGUGUGUGUGUGUGUGUGUGGCUGUCUGCCUGCGUGUAUGCGUGUGGCUGUCUGCCUGCGUGUAUGCGUGGGUUUCUGCCUGUGUGUGUGUGUGUGGCUGUCUGCCUGUGUGUGUAUGUAUGUAGCUGCCUGUGUGUGUGUGGCUGUGUGUGUGUGUGUGGUGGUCUGCAUGUAAGUAUGUGU